CCUACGGGAGGCUGCAGUGGGGAAUAUUGCACAAUGGGGGAAACCCUGAUGCAGCGACGCCGCGUGUGUGAAGAAGUACUUCGUUAUGUAAAGCUCUAUCAGCAGGGAAGAAAAUGACGGUACCUGAGUAAGAAGCCCCGGCUAACUACGUGCCAGCAGCCGCGGUAAUACGUAGGGGGCAAGCGUUAUCAGGAUUUACGGGGUGUAAAGGGAGCGUAGACGGCAGUGCAAGUCUGGUGUGAAAGCCGGGGGCUCAACCCCGGGACUGCUUUGGAAACUGUACGGCUGGAGUGCAGGAGAGGGAAGUGGAAUUCCUAGUGUAGCGGUGAAAUGCGUAGAUAUUAGGAGGAACACCAGUGGCGAAGGCGGCCUACUGGACUAUGACUGACGUUGAGGCUCGAAAGCGUGGGGAGCAAACAGGAUUAGAUACCCUAGUAGUC
rnacentral:rRNA from 1 species